AUGGCCGUCGUCACAUCGUUCCUCCGCUGCGCGACCGCCGCCGCGCUCGCACUCCACCACCACCACCACCAACCGGCCUUCCUCGCCGUCCGCCUCCGCUUCCCGCGCCACCGGAUCCCGACGAGGAUGUCCAUGUCGUCGUCCUCGCCGGCCGCCAGCGCCGCCGCGCCCGCGCCGCACCAGGCCGGGCCGUGGUACGCGGUGCCGGACCUCAGCCUCCGCGACCACCGCUUCGCCGUCCCGCUCGACCACUCCUCCCCCUCCGCGCCGCACAUCACCGUCUUCGCCCGCGAGGUUGUCGCAGCUGGAAAAGAAGAGGCCGCUUUGCCUUAUCUGGUGUACCUACAAGGGGGGCCUGGAUAUGAAAGUCCCCGUCCCACGGAAGCGAGUGGUUGGGUAAAGAAGGCAUGCGAAGAAUACCGCGUGCUAUUGCUCGAUCAGCGAGGAACAGGAUUGUCAACACCGUUGACAACAUCAUCUCUUUCUCAAAUAACAUCUGCAGCAGAGCAGGUGGAGUAUCUGAAGCAUUUCAGGGCAGAUAGCAUAGUUAAGGAUGCAGAGUUUAUUCGUCGGCAUGUUGUACCGGAUGCCAAGCCUUGGACAAUUCUGGGACAGAGUUAUGGUGGAUUUUGUGCUGUUACGUAUUUGAGUUUUGCUCCAGAGGGCCUGAAAGCUGUCCUUUUAACCGGAGGGCUUCCACCACUAGGAAAGCCUUGCACUGCAGAAACUGUGUACAGAGCCUGCUUUAAGCAGGUUCAGCAGCAAAAUGAGAAGUACUAUAAGAGGUUUCCUCAGGAUGUACAAGUCGUUCAUGAAGUUGUGAGAUACUUGAGUGAAUCUGAAGGUGGAGGAGUUCUUCUUCCAUCAGGUGGCAGGUUAACCCCUAAGAUGCUGCAGUGCCUUGGACUAUCUGGUUUAGGUUUCACUGGAGGAUUUGAAAGACUGCAUUAUCUACUCGAGAGAGUGUGGGAUCCUGUACUCGUUCCUGGUGCGAAAAAGAAUAUAAGCUAUUACUUCUUGAAAGAGUUUGACAUGUGGGUAGGUUUUGAUCAAAAUCCUCUUUAUGCUCUCUUGCAUGAGUCUAUUUACUGUGAGGGAUCUUCAUCAAAAUGGUCAGCCGAUAAGAUCCUCAAUGAAAAUGGAAGUUUGUUUGAUCCUGUUAAGGCUACAGAAGAAGGCCGUCCUGUGUAUCUUACUGGAGAGAUGGUGUUUCCCUGUUUUUUCGAUGAGAUCAAUGCUCUACGGCCCCUAAAGGAGGCUGCACACUUGCUAGCUCAGAAGGAGGACUGGCCUCCAUUGUAUGAUAUCAGCGUGUUGAACAACAACAAGGUCCCGGUGGCCGCCGCGGUGUACUACGAGGACAUGUAUGUCAACUUCAACAUCGCCAAGGAGACGGCGUCCCAGAUCGCCGGGAUCCGGCUGUGGGUGACCAACGAGUACCCGCACUCCGGCCUUCGCGACGGCGGCCCCCACGUCUUCGAGCAUCUCAUGGGUCUUUUGAAGGGCAAGAGGCCUCUGUUUUAG
rnacentral:rRNA from 1 species